UCACCGGAUCGUGAAUGUAUUUGUUUGAUCACCGUUGAAACGAGGAAAAAUUUGGUCGACCAGUUGUAAACUGACACGUGUCCCAUCUCUUAGCGCGGGGGCGUUUUAGCCCAACUAGACGUAGUUCAUUUGUUUUUUUCAACUGUCUCUGUCUAUAGGAACAACAUUUUUCACGAAACUGGGCUUUAGUGUUCCAGUAGGUCUAAGCCGCAUCACGUGCUUGUGUUUUCCAUUUACCAAACAUUUUCAAAUGCUUGUUUCUGAAUUGUACAAUAUGUUUUUUAAGUGUUUAGAAAAGGGUGGAGAACUUGUUCAAUCAAAUGCUUUGUUUUAGAACAGCAGUGUCUGUGUUUCACAGUGAAUCGUCCGGUGUUUCCAGUCCGCCGUGGAACAACUUUUCGUAUUCGCCAUUGUACACUAUACUAUAACACAUGCACCUAUAUAACAAUUGAAUACGAGACCAACGCUCUACCUCUGAGCUAAGAAGGCACAUCCACAUUAAUGUGCACGCUCUACGACUAUAUAAACUAGAGAAGCAGGUCCAAUUUGAAAUGCGCAUUUUCAAGUUUCUUCAUGGACGUGAAAAUAUAGACAAUUCCCAUGACCUUAUCUUCCAAAGACGCUUAACUUUUAAUAAUCGUAACAACACAGCUGACAAUUAAAGGAGGUUUUUACGUUGGACCCUUAAAAACUUUUCGUGUGGCUUCUGAUUUGAUGUUUAUCCUAUAUACACAAUCUUGAUGUU